UAGGGAAUCUUCCGCAAUGGACGCAAGUCUGACGGAGCAACGCCGCGUGAGUGAAGAAGGAUUUCGGUUCGUAAAACUCUGUUGUUAGAGAAGAACAGCGCAUAGAGUAACUGUUAUGCGUGUGACGGUAUCUAACCAGAAAGCCACGGCUAACUACGUGCCAGCAGCCGCGGUAAUACGUAGGUGGCAAGCGUUGUCCGGAUUUAUUGGGCGUAAAGCGAGCGCAGGCGGUCAAUUAAGUCUGAUGUGAAAGCCCCCGGCUCAACCGGGGAGGGUCAUUGGAAACUGGUUGACUUGAGUGCAGAAGAGGAGAGUGGAAUUCCAUGUGUAGCGGUAAAAUGCGUAGAUAUAUGGAGGAACACCAGUGGCGAAGGCGACUCUCUGGUCUGUAACUGACGCUGAGGCUCGAAAGCGUGGGUAGCAAACAGG
rnacentral:rRNA from 1 species